CCUGGCUUUGUAGCUGAAACAGAGUAGCUGACUCUCCCUACUUCUUGGCUUUUCUUUUUUUUUUUUCUUCCCUUCUAGUACAUAAUGUGAAAUCAUGUUAGGCCCAGAGCUCAGACGUGGGAGUCUGCAAGAGAAUGGCAGCUCCAAGACGGUAAGUGGAGGUGACAAGUUCCCAGUAAUAUUAAACAUUAACACUGAAUAUUUUGUUGGUAUUUAACUCCAUGAUGUUUCAUGUUACUGAGCAGAAUCAGAACAUCCCCUCUCACAACCACUAUUUUGUUCCUCACUCCUCUGCUCUCUACAUUCAGAAGGCAGGAAUGUGAGAUGCCAGCUCCUUCAGGGUUGAAAUGGCUUUAUACAAACUAACAGAAAGGGCAAGUUCAUGAAGUGGAGACAGGAUCUAAUUCUGUACUCAGCUGAGACUGACUUGAAGAUGGGGAGUACUUUGUGUACGAGAAUCUGCCAUCUGCUGAUCCCAAGCCUUUACAUGAGGUGCAAGGUGCCCAUGCUGGUGGCCUGAGCUCAGCCUUUUGGAGUGGGGAGCGUGAGAGCCAUGAACCAGGGCAAGCUCCAGCUUGAUGGGUGAGGCUGACUUCUGCUGGACUUUGCAACACAGGUAAAAAGGAAUGCACCAGGGUUUACACCAACCUUCAAGCAAACUCUUUUCUGAAUGCUCACCUCAAAAGUUUGCAGGCUCUGUUCUCCAGUGCUGACAGAAGAACUGUAGAUUGUAUAUUGACAGAACCAAGGACCACCUGCACUGAUUUUUGCCAGUGUUUUCCUGCUCUCCCCACAGAGGAGGAGCUCUGGGGAGGUGGCUCAGCUUGCAGGGGGACUGUCCACCAGAUGUCUUCUCCCACUCUUUUCACCAGAUGCUCCAGCUGCACAGAAGUUUUGGGUGAGGAACCCCCGCAGUCCAUAAAAAGAUUGGUGCAUCUCUAUAGACCAAGAGAGAGGAAAAAUUCUCCCCUCCUGAGAGGCCGGAGGUGGAAGGCAGCAGUCACUGUAGAUAUCAGGUGAAUUAUGAUUUCAAAGGAAGUUCAUGGGAAGGUCACAAAGCAAAAUCAGAGGUUAUUUCCACCACAGAGAGAGAUGAAGAGGAGACAGCAUUUCUUUCCUCAGCUUUUUCCUUCUUCACAAAUGCAGGAACUAUUUUUUUUGGUUACAGUAGAUUCCUGAGACAAAGGCUUUGGAAAAAACCCACUCUGCCUCUUGGGAAAUUUCCAUGGCAGUCAUUCCUUCAGCCUCCUUGUUGCAUUGGCCGUGGUUUGAGGUGACAUCCAGCCUGGUGUGGCCCUCCCCUUCUCCACGUCAGUUCUGAUUGCAUAGCAAACAUCAAGCAAACCCGAAGACCAGCAGCUUCCAUGAAAAUAUUCCCACUGACUUCAAAGAACUUUGGAUCCAGCCUCACAGUGGUCAAACACUAGACAAACCAGAGCAAUCAAAGCAACUCUUGCACACAGUUGCAGCUGCAGGCACACACACAGGACAGUAGAGACACGUGAUUAAUGAAUUUCAGCUCAGAGUGCACCCCAAAAUAGUUACCCUCGUGGGUGCAGAUGUGGGACCUUCAGAUACACAUAUGCAUGGAAGAAUACACGCCUGCAUGUAUGUCCUGGUGCAUUUAAAACAGUCUAUUAUGUAAAGCAU
rnacentral:lncRNA from 1 species